GCCGAUCAGCUGACAACACUUGUUACGGAGGGGAGAGGGAAAAGUGGAGCCGCAGCGCACUCUCUGCUCCAGGGACCUUGGGGAAGGGGGUGGAAUCGGCAUAUCCCUUCCAGCCCCCUGCCAUGAGCCGCUCAGGGCAGGGGGCUGGGAGCACCCCCAUGACCCCAGCCCACCGCCCUGACCCCUGCACCUCCCCCACACACCCCAGCCCUCUGCCCUGACCCCUGAACCCCUCCAGAACCCCUGCCCUGACUCCGGCACCCCCCACACAUCCCCAGCCCCCCAGCUCCCUGCCCUGACUCCUGCACCCCCCACACAUACCCAGCCCCCUGACACCCCAUGAUCCGACUCUUGCACCCCCCACAUCCCCACCCGCACCCUGAGCACCAAACGGGAGCUCCUGCACACACACCCCACACAAACAUUCCCACCUGCAGCCCUCACACCAAAUGGGAGCUGCCCAGGUAAGCGCUCCUGCCCCCAACCCUGAGCCCCCUCCCUCAUUCUAGCUCCUGGCCAGACCCUGCACCCCAACCCCCAGCCUGCUCCUUCACCCCCAGCCCUGUUCUCAGCACACUCCCACCCUCAUCUCAGUGCAGAGAGAGAGGAAGAGAAUGGCUAGAACCAGGGAGAAGGUACAAGGGAGGCCUGACCCAAGGUGAAAGUUGGGCUGGUCACCAUGAAGAUGGACAAAGAGGGAAGCAUGUAAGCAAUCCCUGGCCAACUGCUGCACUUUCAUGGCAUUCCAGGUGGGACAGAAGUGAUUGCAAAGAGGCUGUGGGGUAGAGAGAACAGCUGCAUUCAAAACAAAGCUCAUGGCUGACUCCAGAGCAGACCAAUCACCAGGGGAGAGGCUACUGGCAAAGAGGUUUCCUGAUUGGAGGGUCCCAGACUGGCCCAGAUCUACUCUACAAUGAGCUAUUUAAAUCACUGUAAGGCCUUUCUACAUUGCUCCCACUCUCUGAGGUGCUCUGUAGUUUAGGAGUGAUGGCUUUAAAUUCAAAAUGCUGAGGACUGACAUUGGAGAUAGCAGUAAAGAUAGGAUGUAAAUUUCACCUCUGGCGGAAAUUCUGUUCCUGAUGUCAAAAUGUUAAUUGCUGUGUAGUCUGUUAUGAGAUACUUUUUCCAGGGCAGCUGGUUUAUUCGCAGUUAGUAAACAACCAUUGUUUUUGGCACUGACUUGAAAUUCUACUUUGAUAUUGUCAUCUAAGAUUUUAAGGCCCCAUUGGUCAAACUCUCUUUUUGACCCAAAUCCUGAGCUCAGAACACAGCCUGAACAUCUGCACUAUAUGCUGAAGAGUUCACUUGGGGCUGAGAGGGGGAAGAAGGCAACUUCCCUCUGGGGUGUAGAGUGGCACAACAGCUGCUUUUCAAUGGCUAUUCUAUUUCAGGGCUUGAGUAACCACCUGUGUUGCUUGUGGUCCUCUGAGUGGCAGAAUGGUCCAUGGAUUGGUGUGGAGGUGGCUCUACCAGCUCCAGAUACCCCAGAUCUUUCAUGUGCAAUAACAUGGAGGGACCACCCUGACACAGGGAUUUUGUGGUAUGCAGGGGGGUGCACAGGUUCCACAUGGGCCCCCCAUCCACUGCUGUGCUAUGCAGUGGCAGUGCUCUCAUUCUACUGCUAGAGGGCCCUCUGCAGUGGUGGGAAAGGCAAGUUUUGGCCCUUUGUGCAUACAACUAGUUUUUGAUCUAUUGGUCACUCUUCCUUUUGCCAUUCUGUCACUGGAACCUGGUUAAAGGUGCCCCUUCCUCAUUGCCAGCAAACAGGGGAAUAACUCCCUGCUCAGGGCUUAAACCAGUGCUCACUGAAGUCAGUGGAAAGGUUCCUACUACCAUUAGUGGAUGCUGGAUCAAAUCUUCAGCUCCUGAGGCCUUGUCUUUACUCAGAAAUAAAAGGUGUUUUCUCAACUGAGUUAACUAACUCAAGAUAAAAUCCUAGUGCAGACAAGGCAGUUUGUAGGUUUCACAUGAGUUAACAGACUGAAUUAAAGACUGUGGGAGUGUGACGGGUUGCCUGGCUCUUUAUGACAAGCUGGGCUCAAUCUUGCCUGUGACCUAGCUAAGUGUGAUGGAGAUUUAGUUAUAAUGACUGACCCCCAACUGUGGGUUUUCAGACAGAUGACUACUUAAACAGAGCUGUGAACAUGCUCUUGCUGGAGAAGAGGAGCUAUGUCUCUGGAAAGAGUCUAGUGAAGAACUACAGGGAGCAGGUCAGGCUUGAGAACUUGCUGAGAAUGAUCCAUCUGAUUUCCAGGAUCCUUUAGUCCCCAAACCAUACGUGCUCCUCCCACACUUCCUAAAUACAAGAUGAUCCAGGGUUCUCCCCAGGGCUUGAAUUGGGCUGGGUAGGCCACCUGGUACUUUUUAUUAGGCUGCCCUUUUGUGAAUGCCAGUUUUCUCAUAGUAACAGGUUGAGGUAAAGAUCUGGGGAAGCCUAGGGUUUAUCUUGAUGUGCUAACUUGUGUUGGCACUGCCUUACCUUCACUAGAAUUUUACCUCACCUUAGUUACCAUGUGUUAACUAAUAUGAAGUAAGAACACACCUUUUUGCCUGAUGAAAACAAGGCCAGGAUUUCAUCCUAUGCUUCUCUAUGCUCAGAAGACAUAGCCUUAGAGGUGUGACCUCUUCCAUUCACCUCAAUGAGGCUUUAAGUCAAAUAUCCAUUCAUUAUAAUUUCCCUGUGAAUAUUGUUAGCUGCUUCAUUGCUGACCAAAGCAAGGAGGAGUCUGUAGACUCUAUAUGAGAAACCUUCCAUUUUGGUGCCCAGGGGGAAUGGAGUCCCAUCAAGGGGGUGCUGAGCCCCGCAGAAUCCACCUCACCAAAGAGGAGCCAGCAGAGCAUGAGCAAUCAGUCUGAACAUUUGUGAAAUCUCUGUGAGGAGCAACUCACUUGGGUAGCUCAAGCAGGUGGAAAUUGGCCUGUGGACAGAGUUUGGGAAAGUACCACUACCUCACAAACACUACCCAACUUGAGCCCAGGUUCUCCUGUUCUUCAUUACAUUAAUUGCCAAGUCUCCAGUGACUUUUGUAACAGUUACUGCUCUUUUUUCCGCUUGUCAAAAUCCCUGCUCUAGCUACACAACCUUGGUAGCACUGUGCAUGCAGGUUUUUGGCUAAUCUGCUCAACAAAAAAAUCUGCCCACUGUGUAGAGUCAAAAUGCACCCCCAUCCUGGGGCGUGGCUUUCUUUAGAAAGAAAACAAUAAGAUAACAAAGCACCCCUCCACCCUUCUCCCCAGAUUUGAUGGCUCUUAGGGUUUCUCCCUCAAAACUGCUCAGGUUAAAUCCUAGAUCUCCCCUUUCUAAAGACCAGGCCUACUGGAUGUGGAAGGUAAGAAACCACGUGCUUCAGUGGGUAAAAAGAACCCACUCACUCUUUUCCUGCAGCAUCAACACCUGCUAACAUGGUGGGGACUGGGGUACGUCAGGCUUGUUGCAGAGCCUUACUAUGACUGUGUCAUAUUUAAUCACUGCACCUUUUGCUGACUUCUCUGUACCUUUCUCCUUGCCAUUUGCAAAAGUCCUAAGGCCUCCUGUAUCAGAACCAAUGUCCAUUGAUCACCAAAGAUGACAAGGAAAGGGAACAGUUUGAGUAACUAAUGACAACAAUCCCCACCCUCACCCCCUUUCUUUAUCAGUUGCCUGCAUGGUAACCACACUUAUACAAAUACUGAGGACAUAAAUAUUCAGGUAACAAAUGUAUAAUCCUUGACCUCUCAAGCCCUUUACAACUACCAGAUAUCCAAUGUCAAUGGCCUAACUCUUGUUAUAUCCCUCCAGUAGGCCUUCACUAACAAUGCCAUUUUUCCUAUCAAGUUAGAGGAUCAUGGAGCCUGCAACAGAAACAAACAUUACAGAUACCUUCACAAACAUAUCUGCAAACCCUUCGCUCUCACAUGCCUAAGAAGUUGCUGGCGUGAGGGUUCCAUUUUACAAUUUAAAAAAACCUUUGGCUGUUACAACAGCCUCCCAAAUAUGACCAUCCUUUCAGAAUUGGCUGUGUCCUUCUCAGCCGCCACCACCACUUACCAUGUUGCAUCUCCGAGAAGAUUUUAUAAGUAUCAGCUUUUCCUUACCUGUUCUCCACCUCUGAUCUCCUAUGUUGAUAUUUUUCCAUCCUCCAAUUUGUAAUGAAGAUUUAGGCAUCUCUUAUUUUAAAGAAAAAAAUCUUGGGUCCUUCAGCUAAAACUUAUUGCAAAAGGAAUCAUACUAAUAUUUUCCGUUUCUUUGUAAACUUUUUUUUCCCAAAAGGAACUCAGUUGUAUCAAUAUGAUCCUAGCAACCUCAGACCUAAAAUCUGUAAUUUUAAUUAUGCCAUAAAAACCAUUAAAUCUAGGAACUAUUAACUAAUGGGAGUUACAGCUGUAAAUUCCUCAUAUACUGGAGGAAGCCAUUCGUAAUUCUCAUUCUCCACUAUUAACUCUCUGCAUCACUACAUAUUUCUAAAUUCACCCUGCUUUCUUCAGGCACAUUGAUGGCGCUUUCUACAGAGAACUGGAACAGCAUCAUCCUCUACAAUAAAAAUACUUUUCAUUUACAAUAGAUGGGCCAGGUGUGCCUGGAGCAGUUGGGAAAGGAGAUUGCAAUGCUGGUUCUGAUCCAUUUUUACAAGCUUAUGCUCCUCAGUAGGUCAAGCAUUGGUCUGCUCCCUAGUGUAAAUUAGUGUAGCUGAGGACCAUAACAAUUGUUAUCUAUAGUACAGUAGCACAGAGAGGCCCUAGCUCAGAACAGGGGCCCAUUAUGCAAAGUGUUGUACAAACAUAUAAUGAGAAACAGUCCCUGCGCUGAAGACCUUACUGUCUAAAGAGAUUAGGCAGACAAAGGGUGGGCAAAGGGAAGUAUUAUCCCAGUUUUUACAAAUGGGAAACUGAAGCACAAAGGUUAAAUGCUGAUCCAAAGCCCCUUGAAGUCAAUGACCUCAAGGGUCUUUCAAUCACCCCCUAAUUUUAGUAAGAUGAUGUUUUAAAAAAGUGAAUGGUACAGAGUUGAAGCAUAGAAGUUUCUUGUUAUCAGGAAAUAACAUACAGAUUAUCAAGAGGUGUGAAGUUUGGUUUAGGAUUGGAUGGCAUAAGGAAUACAUAAUCUGCAAUAUCCCCGAUUGGGGGUAAAAGGUUGACGGGUCAAAGUACAGACACUGAGAUAUGAGGGUAUGUUGUUCAUAUAAUGGCUAUGUUCAGAUGUGAAGUAUAAUGAGUGGAUAUGAUGAUGAGGAUGGAUUGACCCUCAUUUGGUGAGAUUUAACGUUCAGUGAGUUUAUGGUUCCAGUUCAUAUGGUCCAAUGGACAAAGUCUCUCAGUCCCUUUCUCAUAGUUGAUGCACGAUGUCGCUCCAGCUCACACUUCCUGGUACUGUCGGUGGCCAGUGAUGUGUUCGAUGUAGAUGUCCCUGGACCAUCGGAUGGUGUCUGAGACCAUGAAGUGCCACAUGAGCCAUGCGUAGUGUCGACCAAUCCCGCAGGCCCACAGCACACGCCAUUGUAAACCCCGGUCUGUGGGACCCAGGCUUGCAGACUUGAUGUUUAGAAGCCCAUGCUUGAGCAGUCACCCUGCCGUGUCAAUCUGGGCUUACAGUUACUGGACCUGGGUCCCACAGCUAUGCUAUCAUGUCUAUACUGCACGACAAAGACCUUCUGACUUGAAUCUGCAGCUUAAGAUGCAUCCACAGUGCAAAAUGACAGGGCUUGAACUAGGACUUGGCCUCUGACUCACCCCUAUAGCAGGUCCUGAGUGCUUACUGACCCAAGACAGACUGAUUUCUGUGGGGGUUGAAGUGGGGCUUGGGCUAGAACCUAAGCCAGGGCCCAGGCUUAGUGCCCAAUGUAGAGUAGUUAAAGUGACAUGCCAGAAGUCACACAUACAGUCUGUGGAAGAGCUGGAAACUGAGCCUGACCAAUGGGCUAUUAUAAGGGGGACACUACUUCCGCAUUUUAGGGGGGAGGUUGUUUUUUUUGUGAAACUGGCUCUUCAUUUCCUUUGCUUUUAUUAAAAAUAACCCAAAUGCAAUGUUUUGUUUAACUCAAAAUGAAAUUGUUACGAUUUUUUUGAUUUGCCAAAAAUUUUGAAAAAUUCCAGUUUUUGUUCUAGUUGAACCACUUUUUUUUUUUUAAACUGCCCAUGAAUUGAAAAAAUCAGUUAUUCACAAGCUUUCUGCUCCUGGUCUCCCAUAGCAUACCAACUUUUUAUGUGAUUAGACCUCUAAUAUUAUCCAAAUUAGAUGCAGAUUUUGGGCUCCUGGUAAAUUUCCAACACAGUCUGUAUUUAGGUUAAAAACAGAGAGUCCCUGCGCUAAAGGCUCAAGUAAUAGCUAGUUAUACAAAUGUAUAAGUAUUAUUCAUGUUGAUCUUUUUGACUUAACUUGACUGCAUUUUGAUACCUUCUUUGAUUCUCUUCACCCCUACAUUUCUGACCUGUUUUUCCUAGGAAGCCUUUUUCAAAGUAUAAAAAUAACGUUGAACCAAGUAAAGUUGUUCUCUUCUUUAAUGACACAGAUUAUUUUAGGAGAGUCUAUUCUACUCCUUUCUUCAACAGCUUAACUUUAACUCCACCCCUGGAGGUGUUGUCCAGAUCUCUUACUUCUUCCUAGGGACAUAUCACUGGCAUGCCAUUCUGAGUAAUAGUCAAAUAUGGCUAUUCUCUCUGGAGAACUCUGUGUUAGUGCUUGGACCAUACUUACAGCUGAACUGAAGUGAAAUGGAUUAAAAGAACAUUCCAAAAUGCCUCACAAUUACUGCAGAACUAAUGUUUGGUUUUAUGAAAAAGGAAAGAUACAGUAUUUGAAUGGUAGGCUAUUUUCAAAACAUUUCAGUUUCUGCAUAACAUGUUUCAUGUAUGCGAUUUCAGUGUUAUAAGUAUUUGCUACAUUUUUAUAUGGUCUGAAAAGUGAUUUGUAUGCAGCUGUCUAUGACUUUACAAUAGAUUUGUAAUUGUUGUAAUGCGUACAGAAUUCACUAUAGACAUGAAUGUUUUUCUUACAAAGUUAAAACAUUAUUUCCAAAAAAUACUUCUUAUUUCUUAUUACUGACUUCUAAGAAACUAUUAGUAUCAGAAUAAUCUAUGGGUAUUGUUUAAAUAUACGGAAUAUAUUUUAUUUAGAUAUACUCAGUGUUAAAUUAUAUGUUUAUGUCAUUUGGAUUUACAGUAUUUAUAAGAAAAUAUGAUGGAUUUUUAAACCCACUAUUGCUCACAUUGCAUCCGAUGAAGUGAGCUGUAGCUCACAAAAGCUUAUGCUCAAAUAAAUUGGUUAGUCUCUAAGGUG